rfam:Patagioenas fasciata monilis isolate BTP2013 Sc31e1R_53, whole genome shotgun sequence.
AUGCCUUAAACUUAUGAGUAAGGAAAAUAACGACCCGGGGUGACGCCCGGGUCCUCACUGCGAAUGUGAGAUGAAUUUUUGCGCGGGUACAGGUCGCCCCUGGGUGGCCCGCUUACUUCGCGGGGUGCCCGGGUGUGUGAUCUGCCCG